rnacentral:rRNA from 1 species
GACGAACGCUGGCGGCGUGCUUAACACAUGCCAGUCGAACGGAAAGGCCCUGCUUUUGUGGGGUGCUCGAGUGGCGAACGGGUGAGUAACACGUGAGUAACCUGCCCUUGACUUUGGGAUAACUUCAGGAAACUGGGGCUAAUACCGGAUAGGAGCUCCUGCUGCAUGGUGGGGGUUGGAAAGUUUCGGCGGUUGGGGAUGGACUCGCGGCUUUUCAGCUUGUUGGUGGGGUAGUGGCUUACCAAGGCUUUGAGGGGUGGCCGGCCUGGGAGGGGGACCGGCCACAUUGGGACUGAGAUACGGCCCAGACUCCUACGGGAGGCAGCAGUGGGGAAUAUUGCACAAUGGGCGGAAGCCUGAUGCAGCAACGCCGCGUGCGGGAUGACGGCCUUCGGGUUGUAAACCGCUUUCGCCUGUGACGAAGCGUGAGUGACGGUAAUGGGUAAAGAAGCACCGGCUAACUACGUG